rfam:Paenibacillus sp. D9 Scaffold1, whole genome shotgun sequence.
CGGUGAGGUAGAGGCGCGGCGUUUAACAGUUUGUAGCGGAGCUCGAGAAGGCGAUGAGGCUAUGAAGAAGGAAAUGCCGCCGAAGUGGGUAAUACGCUCCGUAUUGCUUGCUGGGUCUGCAGUUAAGAGCUGCAGGACUGUCUCAAUGAACCUCCCCGUUCAUUGAGUUGAGCUAUCUUCCCA